rnacentral:rRNA from 1 species
AACGAACGCUGGCGGCAGGCUUAACACAUGCAAGUCGAACGCCCCGCAAGGGGAGUGGCAGACGGGUGCGUAACGCGUGGGAAUCUACCCAUCCCUACGGAAUAACGCAUGGAAACGUGUGCUAAUACCGUAUACGCCCUACGGGGGAAAGAUUUAUCGGGGAUGGAUGAGCCCGCGUUGGAUUAGCUAGUUGGUGGGGUAAAGGCCUACCAAGGCGACGAUCCAUAGCUGGUCUGAGAGGAUGAUCAGCCACAUUGGGACUGAGACACGGCCCAAACUCCUACGGGAGGCAGCAGUGGGGAAUAUUGGACAAUGGGCGCAAGCCUGAUCCAGCCAUGCCGCGUGAGUGAUGAAGGCCUUAGGGUUGUAAAGCUCUUUCACCGGAGAAGAUAAUGACGGUAUCCGGAGAAGAAGCCCCGGCUAACUUCGUG